ACAAAAGGGAAAAAGGCGUGGCGGGCGCAAGCUCGUCUCACGUUCUGCUCUCGAAAUCCUGUAUUCACCCCAAGUUCCUUUAAAAUUUCAAUAAAAAACUCUGCAAAAAGACCACUUUAUUAAAGUGGCAUCUAAUUGCACAAAGCGA
rnacentral:misc_RNA from 1 species